rfam:Ixodes scapularis strain Wikel colony gcontig_1108379301424, whole genome shotgun sequence.
UAAAAGGGCAUUUGGCGCCGCUGCCAUGCAUUGCACUUCGUGCAGUGUACAGAAUCGCCAUCAAGAGAUUCUGAAUGUAUAAUUUUUAGAGCUGGGGCAGUUGGUUGUCGUAAUGCACCGGCGCCCCG